AGAACGAACGCUGGCGGCGUGCUUAACACAUGCAAGUCGAACGCGAAAGGGACUUCGGUCCUGAGUAAAGUGGCGCACGGGUGAGUAACGCGUAGAUAACCUGUCUUCAUGUCUGGAAUAAUACGCCGAAAGGGGUACUAAUACCGGAUAUCUUGCUUUUCAUAAGUUAUGCAAGCAAAGGUGGCCUCUGCAUAUGCUACUGCAUGAAGAGGGGUCUGCGUACCAUUAGCUAGUAGGUGGGGUAAUGGCCUACCUAGGCGACGAUGGUUAGCGGGUCUGAGAGGAUGAUCCGCCACACUGGCACUGGAACACGGGCCAGACUCCUACGGGAGGCAGCAGUGAGGAAUAUUGCGCAAUGGGGGAAACCCUGACGCAGCGACGCCGCGUGAGUGAGGAAGGCCUUCGGGUCGUAAAGCUCUGUCAAGAGGAAAGAAGUGUACAAUGGCUAAUACCUGUUGUAUUUGACGGUACCUCUAAAGGAAGCACCGGCUAACUCCGUGCCAGCCGCCGC
rnacentral:rRNA from 1 species